AACAUUUUUAUACAAAAAUAGCCAAAAAAAUUAGUCAUUUUUCAACUUUAACCCUUCAAACUUUUUUCUAUCAUAACUAGCCAAACACCCUAUUUUUGGACUACAUUACCCUCAUCAUUUUCAUCAAAUUUACAAAGGCAUGCCACUUUCCCUUAUUAAUUCCAGCACUUCCACCAUUUUUUCCUUUUCAACUUAACAAAUUUCAUCACUCAACAAACUCCAUUACUCUCAAUAAAUUAGCAAAUUUCAUCAAACAAGUAUUACAUAAUUGAAGAUAUAAUUAUCAAUUGGAAAGCUUCUUAAGGUUAGUUUAUACUCUUACCAUAACCUAAACUUUUAAUCUAUUGAUUUUAUCAUUUGAGUUCGAAAUUGAUGUGAGUUUUUAUUGCAAAUGUUGUUAUUUUUCAUUAACAAAACAAUGUGACUUGUUAAAGUAGUUAGUUUGAGUUGAGAAAUGAAAAUCAAUCAUUGAAACCCCUGAAAAAUCGAGUGAAACAGAAGCCCAGAACAAGUGAGACAGGCACCUGUCUCACAUAAAUCUACUGGUUUUAUGUGAGACAGGCACCUGUCUCACUUGCCUGUCUCACCAAAAUAUGUGCGACAGGCAAGUGGGAUAGGCGUGUGAGACAGGCGCCUGUCUCACUUGUUACCACUGGUUUUAUGUGAGACAGGCAAGUGAGACAGGCGCCUGUCUCACUUGUUACCACUGGUUUUAUGUGAGACAGGCAAGUGAGACAGGCGCCUGUCUCACUUGUUACCACUGGUUUUAUGUGAGAC
rnacentral:lncRNA from 1 species